UGUGGCAUUCUACAGACUAAACAGAAGGUCUUUCAGAAAAGACUUUUGAGUAAAAUUGUUUUAGAAAAUAUAUGACUAUUAAGAUCUUCCUCUUCAUCCUUGACCAGCUGAAUGUCAGCAGCAGUCUCUUCAAAAAGAGACCUUCUCGUUUUGAAGUUCAGGAUCUAGACUGCGGACAGGCCAGGACGAGCCUCUGCCCUCAGCUGCGUGACUGUGACAUAGAACAGGUUUAGACAGCGCGCUCUGGUUUCAGCAGUGUGGUGAGGACAAGAACACCCAGGCAUCUUAGUCUGCUGGUCUGUAAGAGACCAAACCAGACUUGGUCCUGGUAGUCAAGGCUCCGUGGUGGUGGGCCCCGUCCUGGACGCCAUGCAGAUGGCAGACAGACGGGCUCUCUCCUCCGGGUACUGCCCUGCAGGGCAGAUACAGUGCUCCACCUGCCAGCGCCAGGGUGACCCCUCGCUCCCUGCAUGGACGCCGCGGCACUGAGUCUGCACCGAGUCAGGCGGAUGAGGCCAGCGGGGCCGAGCCUGAGCAAACGUCCUAUUGUCCAAAGCCCCUCCUCUGGCUAUUUAGGAAGCUCAGGGAAAAAGCAAAUCCUACCCAAACAGAUUACCUCUUGCCGAGAGUGGUUACAAAGAAGCCGGA